AUUGAACGCUGGCGGUAUGCUUAACACAUGCAAGUCGAACGGUAACAGGCCUUCGGGCGCUGACGAGUGGCGGACGGGUGAGUAACGCGUAGGAAUCUGCCUCAUAGUGGGGGACAACGUGUGGAAACGCACGCUAAUACCGCAUACGCCCUACGGGGGAAAGCGGGGGACCUUCGGGCCUCGCGCUAUGAGAUGAGCCUGCGUUAGAUUAGCUAGUUGGUAGGGUAAAGGCCUACCAAGGCGACGAUCUAUAGCUGGUCUGAGAGGACGAUCAACCACACUGGGACUGAAACACGGCCCAGACUCCUACGGGAGGCAGCAGUGGGGAAUAUUGGACAAUGGGCGCAAGCCUGAUCCAGCAAUACCGCGUGUGUGAAGAAGGCCCUAGGGUUGUAAAGCACUUUCAAUAGGGAGGAAAACCUGUCGGUCAAUACCCGGCAGCUUGACAUUACCUAUACAAGAAGCACCGGCUAACUCCGUGCCAGCAGCCGCCGUAACAC
rnacentral:rRNA from 1 species